GACGAACGCUGGCGGCGUGCUUAACACAUGCAAGUCGAACGGUAAGGCCCUUCGGGGUACACGAGUGGCGAACGGUUGAGUAACACGUGGGUGAUCUGCCCUGCACUUCGGGAUAAGGCUGGGAAACUGGGUCUAUUACCGGAUAGGACCACCGACGGCAUGGGUGGUGGCGGAAAGCUUUUGCGGUGUGGGAUGGGGCCGCGGCCUAUCAGCUUGUUGGUGGGGUGAUGGCCUACCAAGGCGACGACGGGUAGCCGGGCUGAGAGGGUGACCGGCCACACUGGGACUGAGAUACGGCCCAGACUCCUACGGGAGGCAGCAGUGGGGAAUAUUGCACAAUGGGCGCGAGCCUGAUGCAGCGACGCCGCGUGAGGGAUGGCGGCCUUCGGGUUGUAAACCUCUUUCAGCACCGACGAAGCGCAAGUGACGGUAGGUGCAGAAGAAGGACCGGCCAACUACGUGCCAGCCGCCGCCGUAA
rnacentral:rRNA from 1 species